rnacentral:rRNA from 1 species
UGGCUCAGAUGAACGCUGGCGGCGUGCUUAACACAUGCAAGUCGCGCGUGAAAGGACUUCGGUCCGAGUAAAGCGGCGCACGGGUGAGUAACGCGUGGAUGAUCUACCCAUGAGUUAGGAAUAACGGCUGGAAACGGUCGCUAAUACCAAAUACGCUCCGAUUUCAACUUCGGGGGAAAGGUGGCCUCUGCUUGCAAGCUACUGCUCAUGGAUGAGUCCGCGUCCCAUUAGCUAGUUGGUGGGGUAACGGCCCACCAAGGCGACGAUGGGUAGCCGGUCUGAGAGGAUGACCGGCCACACUGGGACUGGAACACGGCCCAGACUCCUACGGGAGGCAGCAGUGGGGAAUAUUGCGCAAUGGGCGAAAGCCUGACGCAGCGACGCCGCGUGAGGGAUGAAAGGUCCUCGGAUCGUAAACCUCUGUCAGGAGGGAAGAACCGCCACGGUGCUAAUCAGCCGUGGUCUGACGGUACCUCCAAAGGAAGCACCGGCUAACUCCGUGCCAGCAGCUGC